rnacentral:rRNA from 1 species
AGGCAGCAGUGGGGAAUAUUGCACAAUGGGCGAAAGCUGAUGCAGCGACGCCGCGUGGGGGAUGACGGCCUUCGGGUUGUAAACCCUUUCAGUAGGGAAGAAGCGAAAGUGACGGUACCUGCAGAAGAAGCGCCGGCUAACUACGUGCCAGCAGCCGCGGUAAU